rnacentral:misc_RNA from 1 species
UCCUUCCUACGCAGUCUAUCCUCGCCUUUUAAAUCGCGCGAUGCUUUUUUCUCGGCGUAUCGACGAUAAGUACACCGACGCGAAGAGCACCGAGCGAGAAGAGCGUUAAAGUUUAAUCAGAAAGCGUAAUUUCGCCCGUGCUGUUCUCCAACGUCGAAACAGAAGCUCUCGUUUGCGAAUAGUUGGGUGAAAAUAAAUAAUGAAAGGAACGCAACGGUGUGCGAGGAGCGCUCUAGUUGUACUCGACGAUGCAGCGUGAGAAAUUCGAAGGGCAGAAGCCAAGAAUGGAGGUGGUGGAACACGCGCGCGCGACCGAGGGCGGAAACCGGGAGAACAAAGAGGAAGAGCAAUGGCGGAGGGCGCGUAGUUACGUCCGCUCUACGCCACGUUUACGCGGCCACUCGAGUAAGCGAGUGGGGUGAGACGAGCUCGAAUAAUUUAAUAUACGAAUAUUUCGCGGCUACUCGAAUGCUACGAUUGCUACGAACGAGCUUCGAGUAUUCCGGUAUCGUGCUAUUAUUCGCCGAGGUUAC